AUGUUCGAGCAGCGCUUGAAGAAUGCCAUCAAGCAGGCGGAGGAUGCGGCCGGAAAGAUGAUCCUCUUCAUAGACCAGAUGCACAUGAUUGUUGGUGCUGGUGACGAGGGCCGCACUGUGGACGCUGCCAACAUCCUCAAGCCGGCGUUGGCCCGUGGUCGCAUCCGUUGCAUAGGUGCUACCACAUCGAAAGAGUACCGGAGAUACAUAGAAAGGGAUGCGGCGCUCGAGCGAUGGUUCCAAAGGGUUGACGUCGAUGAGCCGAGCGUGCAGGCGACCGUUGCCAUCCUGCAGGGGCUGAAGAAGCGGUACCAAGACCACCAUGGCCUGAUAAUCCAGGACGAUGCUCUUGUUGCUGCUGCCCAGCUCGCUGGCCGUUAUAUUAAAGGCCGCCAGUUUCCUGAUAAAGCAAUUGACCUCAUGGACGAGGCAUGCACUGUUGUGAAGUUGCAUAAACCAAAAAAGGUGAAAAAUAAGAAAACUAGCACUAUAAAUGCGGUGGAGGAGAAAACCGUUGGUCCAUGUCAUAUUGCACAGGUUGUCGGCCGAUGGACUAAAAUUCCGAUCACUGCACUUGGCCGAGAGGAGAAGUUCAGCCACCUAGUAGACAGAUCGCAUGAGAGAGUCAUUGGACAAUAUGAAGCGGUUAAUUUGGUUGCGCAAGAAGUUCUACGUUCCAAGGUCGGCUUUGACGAAUCUGGCAAACCAAUUGGUGCGUUCCUCUUUUUGGGUCCGAUUGGUGUUGGAAAGACAGAGCUUGCAAAAGCACUCGCGGAGAAGCUUUUUGACAACGAAAAGACGUUAGUCCGCUUUGACAUGUCGGAAUAUGCUGAUAGUGGAUCCGUGUCGCGUCUCGUUGGAGGACCUGGAAGGUAUGGACAACUUAUCGAGAAAGUCAGGAGCCAACCAUAUAGUGUCGUUCUUCUUGACGAGGUGGAUAAGGCACAUCCCUCAAUUUUCAAGGUUCUCAUUCAACUCCUCAAUGAUGGUACGUUGAUUGAUGGAAAGGGUCGGAACAUAUAUUUCAAGGACACUAUCAUAGUUAUGAGCUCUAGUCUUCGAGCAGAGAACCUGUCAGCUGGAACGGCUAGAGAAAACAUAGCAACUGCACGGGAUCUUCUUAUGAAACAGGUUGAGAAACGCCUUAAGCCUGAUUUUAUCAACAAACUGAGUGAAAUUGUGAUAUUUGAGCCACUUUCUCAUGACGAACCGAGGGAGAUCGUGAAAAUCCAGAUGAAGAGUGUCGUUGCUAUGGCAGCUAAGAAAGGCAUCUCUCUGUUUGCAACAGAUGCCGCCUUGGACAUCAUUUGGUCAGAAUCUCACGAUACGGUGUAUGGUGCAAGGCCUAUUAAAAGGUGGGUGAAGAAGAAUGUGACCAGAGUUCUUAUGGACAUGCUGGUCAAUAGAGAAGCAUGUCAAGGCUCGACCAUCUCCAUUGAUGCCGCUGACGAUAAGAAGGGGCUGAAGUACGACGUAUACUAG
rnacentral:rRNA from 1 species